rnacentral:rRNA from 1 species
UUAAAGGGUGCGUAGGUGGUCUAAUAAGUCAGUGGUGAAAUCUCUUUGCUUAACAAGGAAAUUGCCAUUGAAACUGUUAGACUUGAGAAUGGACGAGGUAGGCGGAAUUCGUAGUGUAGCGGUGAAAUGCAUAGAUAUUACGAAGAACUCCAAUAGUGUAGACUGCUUACCAGACCAUAUCUGACACUAAGGCACGAAAGUGUGGGUAUCAAACAGGAUUAGAUACCCUGGUAGUCCACACAGUAAACGAUGAAUACUAACUGUUUGCGAUAUACAGCAAGUGGUCGAGCGAAAGCGUUAAGUAUUCCAUCUGGGAAGUAUGCCGGCAACGGUGAAACUCAAAGGAAUUGACGGGGGCCCGCACAAGCGGAGGAACAUGUGGUUUAAUUCGAUAAUACGCGAGGAACCUUACCCGGGCUCGAACGAUAUUUGAAUACAUCCGAAAAGAUGUAGCUAGCAAUAGCAAAUACCGAGGUGCUGCAUGGUUGUCGUCAGCUCGUGCCGUGAGGUGUCGACUUAAGUGUCAUAACGAGCGCAACCCUUACCGAUAGUUACCAUCAGAUAAUGCUGGGGACUCUAUUGGGACUGCCACCGUAAGGUGUGAGGAAGGAGAGGAUGACGUCAAAUCAGCACGGCCCUUAUGUCCGGGGCGACACACGUGUUACAAUGGGAGAAACAAAGGGUCGCUACCUGGCAACAGGAUGCUAAUCUCGAAAAUCUCUCUCAGUUCGGAUUGGAGUCUGCAACUCGACUCCAUGAAGCUGGAUUCGCUAGUAAUCGCACAUCAGCCAUGGUGCGGUGAAUACGUUCCCGGGCCUUGUACACACCGCCCGUCAAGCCAUGGAAGCUGGAAGUACCUGAAGUAUGUAACUAAAAGAGCGUCCUAAGU